CCUACGGGAGGCAGCAGUGAGGAAUAUUGGACAAUGGGCGCAAGCCUGAUCCAGCCAUGCCGCGUGCAGGAUGACGGUCCUAUGGAUUGUAAACUGCUUUUGUACAGGAAGAAACACUGGUUCGUGAACCAGCUUGACGGUACUGUAAGAAUAAGGAUCGGCUAACUCCGUGCCAGCAGCCGCGGUAAUACGGAGGAUCCAAGCGUUAUCCGGAAUCAUUGGGUUUAAAGGGUCCGUAGGCGGUUUAAUAAGUCAGUGGUGAAAGCCCAUCGCUCAACGGUGGAACGGCCAUUGAUACUGUUAGACUUGAAUUAUUAGGAAGUAACUAGAAUAUGUAGUGUAGCGGUGAAAUGCUUAGAGAUUACAUGGAAUACCAAUUGCGAAGGCAGGUUACUACUAAUUGAUUGACGCUGAUGGGCGAAAGCGUGGGUAGCGAACAGGAUUAGAUACCCUGGUAGUCCACGCCGUAAACGAUGGAUACUAGCUGUUGGAAGCAAUUUCAGUGGCUAAGCGAAAGUGAUAAGUAUCCACCUGGGGAGUACGUUCGCAAGAAUUGAAACUUCAAAUGAAUUGACCGGNGUUGAGAGNGCGAGGACGACGACGAGGGAGGAGG
rnacentral:rRNA from 1 species